GCUCUAGGCUAAGUUUCCAUCCUAGGACAGUGGCCAUAGAGUUAGGAUGUUUGCUUUACCAGAUCAAAAUCAGCUUCCAGGCUGUACACACCUUAGCACUGUGUUAAGAAAAAGGAGGUCUUCUGAAGGGAAUAUAGUAUUAUGUAGACACCACAGUUGAGUUGUUUACAGUUUCUGCCUCUAGGUACAAAAUGGAUGCAAAAGACAGGGAAGAGAGAGACCAUGGCUACAGAGCCGUGAUUCAGCAUUAGAGCUGUUAAAGCUUGCCAGGGUUUGAUUGCAAAACUGUGACUAAGGUGCUUUUCAAAUAUUUCACAAAGUAGAUGUGUCGAUGAUAAAAAUAUCUCAUUUUGAAAUUUAUAAGGUACAAUUGACCUCCAGAUGUGAAGAAUUCCAGGGCAGGAAGGAUAAGUGUGAAAAGAAUCAUGAGAUCACCUGAGAGAAAUGUCUAAAGAGCAAAGGGAACAUGGAAAGUAUAACACACCAGAGCAAAGGACACAUUUAAUUCAAAGACGCAGCAACUGAGCUGAGCAUAGUGGUACACCCGAGGCGCAGGCAGAGGGAUGCUACAUUUGAGGCCAGCCUGGGGUUCAUAGAUGCUAUUCUGGAAACAGAAACAAGACAAAACAAACAGAAAGGUCCUAUGAUAACUGAUUUCAACAGGAGUAAUGUAAAACAGAAGACCAGAGACCCAGGCAGCUAACAAUAUAUUCUGAGGACAUAAUGAUACCUGGUAGAUAUCUACCCAUCUCUGGGUCUUUAAAGCUUUUUUAUUUUUGCAUUUUCUGAGCAGAAACAGGAAGGGUUUCUAUAUUUAUUUAUUUAUUUGAGACAGGGUUUCUCUAUGUAACAGUCCCGUGUCUGUCUUGGAACUUGCUUUGUAGACAAGGCUUGCCUCAAACAGAGAUCUGCCUGCCUCUGCCUCCUGAGUGCUGGAAUUAAACUCAUGUUCCAUAGUAAAAGAAAGUGAAGUAAAAGUAAAGUUUGUGUUGCAAACAUCUUUGUAGGAGUCAUAGGGUCUUGGGACAGACAGACGCUAUGGUUGUACGAGAAAAACAUGAUUUUUGCCUGUAAAAAUUGUGUAGACUGCUAGUAGCCAACACAGAGGUUCAAAGACAGAAUGAUUAUAGGCUUGGAGGUCUUCAGCUGCUUCAUACACUUGUUGGGUCUGGCAUCCAGGAGACACUCUCCAUCACACCAACAAGAUUUAGUACAGGGUAAUCAGAGUCCCAUGGUCCCCAUGGUAGCUUUGAGCUCUGUCCCAGGUUCCUGACUUCUGCCAGCGUUCUUGAAAUUGUGACCAACUCGUUAGAGUAUAAAAGGGAUCGCAAAGCAUUCCCAACUCUGCACAAAAAUAUUCUUGUAAAUUUAAGCAAAAAACCCAAAAAACCAAAAAACCAAAAAACCCCCAAAAACC
rnacentral:lncRNA from 1 species